rnacentral:tRNA from 1 species
UCCUGGUUAGCCCAGUUGGCAGAGCGCUUCCCUGAAAAUGGAGAGGUCCCUGUUUCAAUACCAGGAUCAGGCG